UGGCACGUACGUCUAGGCUGCGUCUUCCAGUCUCCUAGUACUCUGUGAAGAAGGAAUGUAGAAAGAGAGAGAAAGAGGUGCUGAGAAUUAGAUGUACAGAAAUUGCCUGAGGAAAAAAAGUAUACGGGAAAAUAGGUGAAGAAAGAUUUAUAAAUAUAUACCUCAACUAACAACACAACGAAACGUUGCUUUAGUACGAGAGUAAACACAAAACGUUGCGAGCGAGGUACGAGAAGCAAACAAAAAAAAAAUAAAGAAAAGAAAACCUUUAUAAUAUCAAAACAGUGACAGCUCAAACGACGUACUCAAAUUAUCUAUUUAAAAAAAAAAAAAAAAAUGACGUAAACAUCUUGUAAGAAAACCGGAAGACAGUGACAAUGGAACCUUGAUCCGACCCCCUUCCCCUCCCCCCCCUUUCCCCCUCCCCCUUCACAGCAGACAUGAAACGUGCUUUGUGCCUCGCGUGGUUGCCCUUACCUGACGUCGAUGAUGUAAGCUCGGUGUUGUAAACGCGCAAGACAUCAACAAGUGUGACGACCAUAAAAGGGAUUGGGGAAGAUCCCAUGAUGGUGGACGGCUUCUUACGUAACAGGCGCUCGAGGUGAGUCUGCUGGUUCCCUCAACUAUGUAUGAAGAAAACUUGAGACCGUUUCGUAGCAGAAGGUAAGAGUGAAAAGUGAAAGGAUGUGUAAAGUGAUAUGAUUAUUAGUCGUGAUAAUGGUAGUGGUAAG